CGCCAAAGGAGAGUUGCUCAG
rnacentral:miRNA from 1 species